UGGGUAGUCCGCACGAGCGCACCUUACUUUUAGUUGCUACCAUUUAGUUGGGCACUCUAAAAGAACUGCCAGUGAUAAGCUGGAGGAAGGUGGGGAUGACGUCAAGUCCUCAUGGCCCUUACGUGUUGGGCUACACACGUGCUACAAUGGUAUUUACAAUGGGAAGCAAAGAGGCGACUCCAAGCAAAUCCCAAAAAGAUACCUCAGUUCGGAUUGUACUCUGCAACUCGAGUACAUGAAGCUGGAAUUGCUAGUAAUCGCGGAUCAGCGCGCCGCGGUGAAUACGUUCCCGGGUCUUGUACACACCGCCCGUCACACCAUGGAAGUUGGUUACACCUUAAGGCAAAGUGUAAAAUCUUUGACUACGGUACGAUCAGCGACUGGGGUGAAGUCGUAACAAGGUAGCCGUAGGGGAACCUGCGGCUGGAUCACCUCCUUUCU
rnacentral:rRNA from 1 species